CCGGCCCCCAUACCUUCCAGUCUUAUGGGGGUUGAUUUCAGAUGUUAUGUUGAAAUUGUCUUUGAGAACCCAUCCGAUAUUGUUCUCAGUUAUCACAUUGAAGGCUACCACUUCUUCAUUGUCGGGUCAGUACAUGUUAUUGUGUUUUUAAGUAGCAGAUAAUCAAUUGUUUGAUUUAGUUUAAUAUGAUUUUAUUUAUGUAAUACAUAAUGGAUGGCGGACAAUGGACUCAAGCUAGCAGGAACGGUUACAACCUUUGAGACGGUGUUUUGGCCGCGGUUGAAAAAGAUCUUACAGCUGAAGAACCCAAUGAACAAAAGAAGCACAGGCUUGCCGAAAUCGGAAUGUCAAUGCUCGAGAAUCCUGAAGGCAAUAUUAAACACUUAAAACAAAUGCUGCAAAUCUGCAAAAAUGAAGAUCGUUACAUAUUAGAUAUUGGUCUAAAGUCUUUACUAGCUAUUUUCAAGGAUAUCAUCCCUAGGUAUAUAUUAUAUUAAUAUUUAAUCAUGUAAAUACUAUUUUCAUACAUUUAUGUUAUUUAACUGAAUAUUGUUUGUUGUUA